UACGUAGAAGGCAAGCGUUGUCCGGAAUCAUUGGGCGUAAAAGCGUAUAAACAACUCGAUAAGUCCGCUCUGAAAGCCCAAAACUCAACCCCGGGAGGCAGGCAGAUACUGUCAAACUAGAGUCCGGAAGAGGCGAGUGGAAUUCCUGGUGUAGCGGUGAAAUGCGCAGAUAUCAGGAGGAACACCAAUGGCGAAGGCAGCUCGCUGGGACGGUACUGACGCUGAGACGCGAAAGCGUGGGAAGCAAACAGG
rnacentral:rRNA from 1 species